UAGGGAAUCUUCCGCAAUGGACGCAAGCCUGACGGAGCAACGCCGCGUGAGUGAAGAAGGAUUUCGGUUCGUAAAACUCUGUUGUUAGAGAAGAACAGCGCAUAGAGUAACUGUUAUGCGUGUGACGGUAUCUAACCAGAAAGCCACGGCUAACUACGUGCCAGCAGCCGCGGUAAUACGUAGGUGGCAAGCGUUGUCCGGAUUUAUUGGGCGUAAAGCGAGCGCAGGCGGUCAAUUAAGUCUGAUGUGAAAGCCCCCGGCUCAACCGGGGAGGGUCAUUGGAAACUGGUUGACUUGAGGGCAGAAGAGGAGAGUGGAAUUCCAUGUGUAGCGGUGAAAUGCGUAGAUAUAUGGAGGAACACCAGUGGCGAAGGCGACUCUCUGGUCUGUAACUGACGCUGAGGUUCGAAAGCGUGGGUAGCAAACAGG
rnacentral:rRNA from 1 species